CCAAAUGAAAUUAGUGAUCAAUAUCCCUAGUACCGUGUGCACUUUUUCUCUUCACGGCAACAUCUACAGUGACAAUUUCAUAUAUAUGCAUAUGUAUAUAUGUGUGUGUGUAGAUAUCAUAGCUCACUGAUUAGUUUCUCAUUUGUCAACCAAAUGGUAAAAUCUAUGAACUGUACUUUAUUCAAACAUUAUUAUAUGUUUGGUAGACUUAAUAGCAUUGCUAGAUAUAGAUUAUUAAAUGUACAGCAAAAAUUCUGAAUUCUGAGACACACCCUGGGAAAAGAUCCUGAGAAAGGAUCAUUUAUAGAAAUAGGACUCAACAUUUCCUAACUUUACAAUAUCUCCUAUAUUGGAAGAGGAUUUUAUGCCUUUGGAUUUGUAAUUAACUUCCUAUCUAGAAAUUCAUUUGGGACUGUUCAUACACUUCCUUAUAAAGAUGAUAAUUUUGAAAGUAUUUAAAGGAUCCCAUCAGGUUGUAAAUUCCUAGAAAAUAGGGAUUGUUUUUAUAGAUCAUUUCUGUCAAUGUUUUAGGUCAAUAUGUAACACACAAUACUUUAAACAAAA
rnacentral:lncRNA from 1 species